UGGGGAAUUUUGGACAAUGGGCGAAAGCCUGAUCCAGCAAUGCCGCGUGUGUGAAGAAGGCCUUCGGGUUGUAAAGCACUUUUGUCCGGAAAGAAAUCCUUGGCUCUAAUACAGUCGGGGGAUGACGGUACCGGAAGAAUAAGCACCGGCUAACUACGUGCCAGCAGCCGCGGUAAUACGUAGGGUGCAAGCGUUAAUCGGAAUUACUGGGCGUAAAGCGUGCGCAGGCGGUUUGCUAAGACCGAUGUGAAAUCCCCGGGCUCAACCUGGGAACUGCAUUGGUGACUGGCAGGCUAGAGUAUGGCAGAGGGGGGUAGAAUUCCACGUGUAGCAGUGAAAUGCGUAGAGAUGUGGAGGAAUACCGAUGGCGAAGGCAGCCCCCUGGGCCAAUACUGACGCUCAUGCACGAAAGCGUGGGGAGCAAACAGGAUUAGAUACCCUGGUAGUCCACGCCCUAAAACGAUGUCAACUAGUUGUUGGGGAUUCAUUUCCUUAGUAACGUAGCUAACGCGUGAAGUCGACCGCCUGGGGAGUACGGUCGCAAGAUUAAAACUCAAAUGAAUUGACGGGG
rnacentral:rRNA from 1 species